rnacentral:rRNA from 1 species
GCAAGUCGAGGGGUAACAGGGGUGCUUGCACUCGCUGACGACCGGCGCACGGGUGCGUAACGCGUAUAGAACCUACCUUUUACAGGGGGAUAGCCUUUAGAAAUGAAGAUUAAUAUCCCAUAGUAUUGAGACUUGGCAUCAAGACUUAAUUAAAGAUUUAUCGGUAAAAGAUGGCUAUGCGUCCUAUUAGUUAGAUGGUAAGGUAACGGCUUACCAUGGCAAUGAUAGGUAGGGGUCCUGAGAGGGAGAUC